ensembl:snRNA U1 U1 spliceosomal RNA
AUACUUACCUGGCAGGGGAGAUACCAUGAUCACUAAGGUGGUUCUCCCACGGUGAGGCUCAUCCAUUGCACUCCGGGUGUGCUGACCCCUGUGAUUUCCCCAAACGUGGGAAACUCAACUGUUUUUAGGUGGAGUGGUGGCUCUGAAGUAGGCAUCUGCACUGG